GUGAAAUUAGCUUAGAGACUUGAGUUUGAAUAUCUUCCCUUGCAAAUUAAUUAAUUUUGCUAUAUUUUCUCUCACUCCCUUAGGUGUGUGUCGUCCAACCUAGUUUAACCUAUUCAUUAAGUUUUUCAAUCUAUUCAUUCUAUGUACAUAUGCUAUUUUUCAUUAAGUUUUUCAAUCUAUUCAUUCUAUUUUUUCUUCCUUGCCGUCUAGCCCUCCUUUUCUCUAAAAAAUCUCUCAUUUUCUUCUUCAUUUUUUUCUUCUUUGCGCAAUCCAAACAAGGGUGUUUUCCACCAUUGUUGUGUCAUCCACCCGCUCUUUUAUUUCUUCUGUUUUGCUACCUUUUUUUUGCCUUUAAAAUCUAUUAUUCUGAUCACCAUGGCCGCCCCACCUUGCUGCCAUUAAAUCUCCAUUGCUGCCCUCUCCUCCUUGUGUGGUGGUGCCAAUUUGCUUCUCUUUUUCUCCUCUCUUCUUUCCUUUUUUUCCCCAAUUUUUGCUGCUUUUUUAUAGCCAUUUUAUUGCUAUUUUUAGCCUCCGAAAUCAUCUUUUUUUCUGCAAAAAAAUUCCUUCUUGUGCCGCCCCAAAUCAGCCAUUUCUUGUCAUCGUUUGUGAUGGUGUGUCGCCCCUUUGUGCACCACUUGUGCUGCUGUAUUUUCUGUUAUUGCUGCAAAUUUAUAGUAGUGUUUUCUUCAAUUCUCCUCUAUUUAAAGUAGCCCAUAACCUUUCCAUUUAGGAGUGCAUCUGAUCUCACUCAUCCGACAUUUCAAAUUUAGAUAACGUGAAGCGUAAGUACGAAUUUAAGCAAGUUAUUGUGUUGUAGUAAUUCCAUUAAAUUUUCUAGUUGGGUGAAUGUUCUAUGACCUUUAAUUAAUUGUUAGUUUUUGAUUUAAAUUGUUAUUUUAAUCAUAGGUGUUGAUCAAAAUGUCUCGGAUUAGUAGUGAAGUCGGAUCUCAUCCGCAGUCUCAUGUCUUAUCAAAUUAGUAUAAGUUUGCUUGUCGUUUCGAAUAUGAAAAUUCGUUAAUGUGAUAUUGUUUUGGCCGAACCCUUAGGGUUGUUUCAAGGUUGGUUUUAAUCAUAUUAUUAAUGUAUUAGGUGCUAUUUUUGGAUUUAGGCUCAUUUAAGGCUUAACUGUGGAAGUGCAAAUUUUAUGAUUUACUGCUAAGGAUUAUGAUUUAACGUGUGGGUCAUACCUUUUCGUAAUUAGCUUAAAAUUGAUUUAGUAUAAUUGAAAUUGGUAAAAUGUGCUUGCUGGUUGUGGCAUGGCCGAAUGGCCUAAAAACGAAUAAAUGGAGUAUCGAGCAAGGUACAUAUUUAUAUAGUAAGGUUGAUUAUUUAAGGCCCUAUUUGGGAUCGAGUGAUUAUGUGUGAGAUUUACGUUCUGUAUGAUUAUGUGCCACUGUUUCGGUUGAUUGUAUGUAUGUUGUGAUGGAUAUUGAUCAUUGGACGCAUGUGUAGAAUGUUAAAUAUUAUGACACUGUUUGGUGGGCUUAUAACUUGUCAAGACUGAUAUUAGGCUAUGUACGUAUUUAUGCUAUAUACCAUGUAUGAUAUUGAUUGUAUUGAAAGCAUGUACACAUGACACUGAUUCUAUUAAUUGAAAGUAGGUAAGGCACACAUACUAUUUAUUGAUAUGUGUGUUAAGCAAGUCAUUAUACUGAAAUUAUUAUUGGAAGCAUGAUGUGUUUACUGAUUCUGUGACAUAUUGCAUUUGCAUGGGGUAGGUAUUUGUGUUUGACAAAGGAGUUUCGUGGAGUACCGACAACAUUUAAAGUUCACAAACUUGUUGUCAGUGCACUCCACUUGGAGUACUGAGGAGAUUGGGCAAUUUAAUGCAUUUAUUGGCAAUUCAUCUGCAUUAUUUAUAUUGGUGGCUACUCCACAUCAUCAACAACUUGUCUUCAUUUUACUGGUAGUUUAACUACAUUAUUGAUUGGUGAUUUGUUCAUAUCGAGCUUUGGCUCACAUUGUUUGGAGUUUAGUACAUGGGUUCUAGGGAAUUCGUGGUGUGCAACGGAUGGUUGUGUAGGAACCUUUUUGCAUUGCAUCAUGUGCAUGACAUGCUCAUACACUGAUUGGUUUGCCAUGUACUAUUCUAAAAUGCUAAUGAUGAUUGUUACCCAUUCUGAUUAUCGGUAUGAUUGUUUAUUGUUUUAACUCACACUGAGCUUUUAUAAGCUUACCACAUCAGUCUAAAACUUCUCAGGUAAUGCACGAGACUAAGACCAGACCUGGCAUAGGGCUCACCACCUUAGGCAUCAGACUAUUUUCAAAUAAAGUACUUUAAAUAAGUUUUCUAUUGGUUUGGUUGUGUAAUUUUUAAAGUCUUUGGUCUGUGGCUUGGUUAUUUUUUAUUUUGGGAUUUUGCGCAUGUAAUGCCCCAAAAUUUAAAUUUUUGUUUUUGUUAAUGUGUGACAUAAUUGGGUACCUGCUUUAGUGGUUAAGUGUUCUGGAUGUGUGUGUGAGGUCCUAAGUUCAAGUCAUGACUUGGGAAAAUUUUGGUAUUUUAGGAAUAAAGCCCAAUCUUUGGUCAAUAAGCUUGUAUUCAAUUGUUGAUAAGCUUAUAUCAGAAUAGGCCUGCUAGUUUGGUGGUAAAAGGGAGUGUUGGUUGGCAGAGGGUCAGGAGUUUGAAUCCUUACGUGAGCGCAAGGACAAAUAUUUUUAUUUGCUCGUUGGUUGGAGACUUUGAGUUGUAUUGGAAAUCUGAGUAGUGGGAGUUUGGUAGAGAGAAUUUAGGGGAGUGGAUUUUGGGGUUAUCAGAUUUUCUGAGCAUUAUUGUUUCUUUUUGCAAAAUUUAGGUUUUUCCCAAAACUCCUCACCUCUUUGAUGCCAUCUCUUUUCCUUUACUUCUUCUCCUUUCAUUUUUCUGUUGUCAAACUCGAAUUCUUUGUUCCGUUGGGUCAAUUCUCGUCACAUUCUGGUAAGUGGAGUUUUUGUUCUUUUUAACUUACGAUUUUUUCCAACUUUGAUUCGGGGGAUUUUUGACGUUUGGCAGCAACAUCUCAUGUGGUUUAAGGGUCUCAUUGUGCUAUUACGUAAUCAACUAUUUGAAGUGUUGGGGUAAGCUUUUCAUUACUUAAGGGAUGCGUUUCUCGUUUCAGAUUUGGUUUUAGUUCGAUCGAGUAAGUAAUAAAUUGAGUGAAAUUGAUCAAUUAUAGUUUCUAGAGUACUCGGGGAUCAUUGUGGCAUUAAUCGAAAUCAGGUGUGUAUACUCGAUUGCAUAGAAAAUGAGGUUUUGACGAAAGUUAAAAACCUCACUGUUGACGCCACACGGGCGUGUGCUUGUCUCCGACUUGAUAUUCAAUGUCUUUUCGUUUUAAAUCUGCAUACGACUUCUGACGAUCUGAAGCUGCUUUCAGACGUUCAUGGAUCACUUUUACUUUCAGUUCAGCAUCUUUGAUCAAAUCAACCCCGAAGAUUUUAUUCACUAAGCUCGGUCCAAAACAACGGUGUACGGCAUUUACGACCGUACAAAGCCUCGUAAGGUGCCAUUUUAAUGCUUGAUUGAAAACUAUUGUUGUAAGCGAAUUCAAUCAAAGGCACAUACCGUUCCUAAGAACCAUUAAACUCAAGGAUGCAACAUCUCAACAUAUCCUCGAGUAUCUGAAUAAUCCGUUCGGAUUGACCAUCAGUCUGGGGAUGAAAAGCGGUGCUCAGAUUUGGCCGUAAGGGCAAAUUGAGUCCGAGGUUCAUCGGGCCAUAUGAAAUAUCCGAAGAAAUUGGGCCGGUAGCAUACAGAUUGAUUCUGCCCCUUGAACUUGAAAAGAUUCACAAUGUUUUUCAUGUUUUGAUGCUUCAACGUUAUAGAUCCGAUCCAUCGCAUGUAAUUAGUCCAUCAGAGGUUGAGAUUCGAUCUGAUUUGAGUUACGAAGAAGAACCGGUUCGUAUUUUGGCUCGUGGCGUAAAAGAACUACGAAAUAAAGAAAUCUCAUUAGUGAAGGUAUUGUGGCUUAAGCAUGGAGUUGAAGAAGCUACAUGGGAACCUGAAGAUUCUAUGAAAGAUCGAUAUCCUAACUUAUUUACUGGUAAGAUUUUCCGGGACGAAAAUUCUUUAUGUGGGGGACAGUUGUGACAGCCCUAAUUUGACCCUAGUCGAAAAGUGGUUUCGGGACCACAAAACUGAGUCAUAAAAAUAAUUAACUGUUAAAUUCUGUGUUUAUUAUAUGUGUAAAUGCAUGUGUGAAAGUUUCAUGCUUUGAUCUAAUCAUUUGUAUGUGAAAUUUAUAAGAUAGGACUCAUGUGAUAAAACUUGAAAGUGUGAUAGGUAAAUUUUAAAGUACCAAAUAAUGCAUGAAAUGAUGAAAUGAGGGAUUUGCAUGUCAAAUGGACCAAUUUUGUUUAGUGGUCGGCCAUAAAUGAUGGUUGAUAUAACAUCUAUGUUUUAUUAUACUAUUAUAAUAAGUGAUGGCUUUAUUUUUUUAAAGAAAUUAAUUAGUAAAACAAUAAAAGUUGAUAAAAAAAAUAAAUGUUCAUCUUUCUUCUUGAUUGUCGAAUUUGGGAAAGAAAAUAUUGAAGAAAGAAAAGGGGGAAGACUUUCGGUUAUUUGAAUGCUUAAGAAGCUCAAGAGCAAAGAGGAACUAAUUCAAAUAGGGGAAAGGAAAAAGCAAUCGAGUAGCCUAUCUGCAACUAUUCAAAACAUCCGAGGUAAGUCUUUGAGUAAUGGAACUUAGCUUAUGAUUUGAUAAAAUCAUGAUAUAUAAGCAUAAUAUAUAAAUUGUAGCCUAAUGUUUCUACUUGAAUUAAGUAGUGAGAUAAAUAAUUUGUACAUAUGACUUGUAUCUGAAUGCUUAUAGAGAUCAUGUUGAAUAUUGAAAUGAAAUCGGGUUCUUUGUAUGUGGCUAUUGAGCCGAAAGUGAAAUUAUUGAUAAGCAUGUUGUGCUUGUGUUUUAGUAAGGUAAAUGAAAUGCUAAUGUAUUAAGAUAUAUAUAUGUGCACGAUAAUUGAGGAUUUUAACCGGGCUAAGACCUGCAGGCCUUGUGUGAGAUUUAUAUCUCGGCUAAGUCCCAAGGCAUUCGUCUUUGGUGUUAUAUCGAGCUAAGUCCCGAAGGCAUUCGUCUUUGGUAUUAUAUCCGCUAAGUCCCGAAGGCAUUCGUCUUGAUAUUAUAUCCGGUUAAGUUCAAGGCAUUCGUGCUGAUGUUAUAUUCGGGUUAAGUUCUGAAGGCAUUUGGGUUGGAAAUCUGUGAUCUUGCUGUAAUAAUUUAAAUAAAUGGGCUCACAAACCUAAGAUGGUCAGAUCUUGUUCGUUAGCUACGGUCUCGGGGAUCCCAAAGUCGAAGUCGUCCACACUAUCUAAGCCCAUUCAGUACACUAGUAGUUAAACUUCGAUAAUGGCAUGUAUAGGCUUGUCUUUUUGUUGUUAAAUAAGUAUCUUUUUGAUGAUGUAUAUAUGUAUAGCCAUGCGAAAAUGGCUUGUUAAGUUACUAUAUGUAUUCCAUAUGGUUAAUGUGAAUGUGUGUUUGAUAUUUGAUUAAUGUUUUCAAUGUUUUGAUGUGAAUUGAACUUAAGAAUGAAUCAAUAUGUCCAUUAUCUUGAGAUGACUCUUUUGUAUAUUGUAUAAUCGGAAAAACAAUUUGGAAUUUGGUUUUAUAAGUGUGAUAUUGGGAGUUAUUCAAAUAUAUAGUUAAAUGAAAUUUCGUGCUUGUUUGGUAAUACUCUUUAACCUUUCGGCCGUGUGCUAGGCCGUUUGAUAUAACACGGGCGUGUGAUCGACGAGGCCAGGCCGUGCAUACAAGACAUGGCCGUGUUAUGGCUAGGCCGUGUACGACAUACGGGCAAGGCUAAUUUGGGCCGUGUGGACCACACGGGCAGACCACAUGGGCGUGUGAGCCUAUUUUCAUUAAAUUGAUUGCUAAGGUUGCACGGAUCGCUCAAGUCGACUGUGAACCUACUGUAGGGUAGUGCAUAGGUAAUCCCCAGACUUGACGGAUCGGUGCAACGAUGGAUUCAACGGUGGCCACACGUAUUUUUAAACCAUUGUAAUUUCAGUUUUGGUGUUUAUUUCAUAAUUAUUUCCUAGGUUAUUUUUUUGUGUAAAUUGGACUUUUUAGACUGUUUUUAUUUCAAA